rnacentral:rRNA from 1 species
CCUACGGGCGGCUGCAGUCGAGAAUCAUUCACAAUGGGGGAAACCCUGAUGGUGCGACGCCGCGUGGGGGAAUGAAGGUCUUCGGAUUGUAAACCCCUGUCAUGUGGGAGCAAAUUAAAAAGAUAGUACCACAAGAGGAAGAGACGGCUAACUCAGUGCCAGCAGCCGCGGUAAUACCGAGGUCUCAAGCGUUGUUCGGAAUCACUGGGCGUAAAGCGUGCGUAGGCUGUUUCGUAAGUCGUGUGUGAAAGGCGAGGGCUCAACCCGCGGACGGCACAUGAUACUGCGAGACUAGAGUAAUGGAGGGGGAACCGGAAUUCUCGGUGUAGCAGUGAAAUGCGUAGAUAUCGAGAGGAACACUCGUGGCGAAGGCGGGUUCCUGGACAUUAACUGACGCUGAGGCACGAAGGCCAGGGGAGCGAAAGGGAUUAGAUACCCUAGUAGUC